GUCAAGAUGGCCGAGCGGUCUAAGGCGCUGCGUUCAGGUCGCAGUCUCUCCAGGGAGGCUAGGGUUCGAAUCCCUAUCUUGACA